rnacentral:rRNA from 1 species
GACGAACGCUGGCGGCGUGCUUAACACAUGCAAGUCGAACGGAAAGGCCCUGCUUUUGUGGGGUGCUCGAGUGGCGAACGGGUGAGUAACACGUGAGUAACCUGCCCUUGACUUUGGGAUAACUUCAGGAAACUGGGGCUAAUACCGGAUAGGAGCUCCUGCUGCAUGGUGGGGGUUGGAAAGUUUCGGCGGUUGGGGAUGGACUCGCGGCUUAUCAGCUUGUUGGUGGGGUAGUGGCUUACCAAGGCUUUGACGGGUAGCCGGCCUGAGAGGGUGACCGGCCACAUUGGGACUGAGAUACGGCCCAGACUCCUACGGGAGGCAGCAGUGGGGAAUAUUGCACAAUGGGCGGAAGCCUGAUGCAGCAACGCCGCGUGCGGGAUGACGGCCUUCGGGUUGUAAACCGCUUUCGCCUGUGACGAAGCGUGAGUGACGGUAAUGGGUAAAGAAGCACCGGCUAACUACGUGCCAGCAGCCGCGGUGAUACGUAGGGUGCGAGCGUUGUCCGGAUUUAUUGGGCGUAAAGGGCUCAUAGGUGGUUGAUCGCGUCGGAAGUGUAAUCUUGGGGCUUAACCCUGAGCGUGCUUUCGAUACGGGUUGACUUGAGGAAGGUAGGGGAGAAUGGAAUUCCUGGUGGAGCGGUGGAAUGCGCAGAUAUCAGGAGGAACACCAGUGGCGAAGGCGGUUCUCUGGGCCUUUCCUGACGCUGAGGAGCGAAAGCGUGGGGAGCGAACAGGCUUAGAUACCCUGGUAGUCCACGCUGUAAACGGUGGGUACUAGGUGUGGGGUCCAUUCCACGGGUUCCGUGCCGUAGCUAACGCUUUAAGUACCCCGCCUGGGGAGUACGGCCGCAAGGCUAAAACUCAAAGGAAUUGACGGGGCCCCGCACAAGCGGCGGAGCAUGCGGAUUAAUUCGAUGCAACGCGUAGAACCUUACCUGGGUUUGACAUGGAUCGGGAGUGCUCAGAGAUGGGUGUGCCUCUUUUGGGGUCGGUUCACAGGUGGUGCAUGGCUGUCGUCAGCUCGUGUCGUGAGAUGUUGGGUUAAGUCCCGCAACGAGCGCAACCCCUGUUCACUGUUGCCAGCACGUUAUGGUGGGGACUCAGUGGAGACCGCCGGGGUCAACUCGGAGGAAGGUGGGGAUGACGUCAAGUCAUCAUGCCCCUUAUGUCCAGGGCUUCACGCAUGCUACAAUGGCUGGUACAGAGAGUGGCGAGCCUGUGAGGGUGAGCGAAUCUCGGAAAGCCGGUCUCAGUUCGGAUUGGGGUCUGCAACUCGACCUCAUGAAGUCGGAGUCGCUAGUAAUCGCAGAUCAGCAACGCUGCGGUGAAUACGUUCCCGGGGCU